AACGAACGCUGGCGGCAGGCCUAACACAUGCAAGUCGAGCGCACCUUCGGGUGAGCGGCGGACGGGUGAGUAACGCGUGGGAACGUGCCCUUCUCUACGGAAUAGCCUCGGGAAACUGAGAGUAAUACCGUAUACGCCCUUCGGGGGAAAGAUUUAUCGGAGAAGGAUCGGCCCGCGUUGGAUUAGGUAGUUGGUGGGGUAAUGGCCUACCAAGCCGACGAUCCAUAGCUGGUUUGAGAGGAUGAUCAGCCACACUGGACUGAGACACGGCCCAGACUCCUACGGGAGGCAGCAGUGGGGAAUCUUAGACAAUGGGGCAACCCUGAUCCAGCCAUGCCGCGUGAGUGAUGAAGGCCCUAGGGUCGUAAAGCUCUUUCGCCUGUGAAGAUAAUGACGGUAGCAGGUAAGAAACCCCGGCUAAC
rnacentral:rRNA from 1 species